UAGGAACUCCGCCCCUGCUGAACACAUCUGGGCUGGGCUAGUCCUUGACCCACUGGCCCUCGGCUCUGAAUCCUUCAGCAUCUAAACCUGCCAUAGUCCACAGGGCCUCAAUGUCACAUGUACAUGCAUGUGCAGUCAAUGUAGGGAUGAGGACGGCACAGACAGGCCUGUGGACGUUCACAGGAGCCUGCCUCUCUCUCUGUUUCUCUCCUUGUCAGAGACAGACAGCAGCCUAGAGCAGAAGAGGACAAAGCUGACUGGAUUGUGGAUAAGAGCUGCCCUUGUAUGGAGGCAGGAUGUAGAAGGAAGAGACUGUGCUCGGGAGUUCUACAAGCUGAUUAGUUACUGGAUAAGCUGAAAUUUACUUUGGGAAGCUGAUCAUUGAUGUGGGUCUUGUUUUUACAUCUGCAAUGUGCUCGUGUCUCUUCUGAUUUUCUCAUGGCGGCCGUCACCUCCACUAUGGAAAGAAAAAUGAAUGACCCAUUUCAGUAGACUGUGACACUUCGGCGACCUGCAAAUUCUACACAUUAGAGUUCAUAUUUUACACAAAUGCCGGAGCCCCAAGUCGUGGACUCGCAUCUCUCUCAGCAGCAUCCAACUCCCAGCAGAAGACACAGACCCUGUCAGAGGUUGAAAGCUCCUAAUGAAGAUGCAUUACAGAUGGUAUUUAUGGUCAUCCCCCUAGGAAAACAAAAGUGAUUCAUGAAUAAUUUCGUGGAAGUCACACCAAAAAGGGAGUAAUAAUUUUCUCAAGUCCACAUUGUCCUUUGGUUCUCCGAGGGCCACUUCUAUUCCCACAAGUCACCACAGCUUCACUUCAAAAGGAUGAGGCAGGACAGGGGAGAGGCUGUGUGUUAACCUGGCUUGAGAGCUACCACGUACUGAAAACCACUCAGCACCUGUGAUUGAUGGCGUCCGGUCACAGCAGAGUUUCUCUUCUUCGUGUGUUACUAGAAGGCUGAGAAGCAUGCUCUUCAGCGGCCCGGGGUUCCUCCGGCAGAAGCAUCGUUCUAGAAGACCCCCUGAGCAAAGGGAACAGUUGUGGCCGAGCAAGGCAGGUGGGUGGGUUCUGACCAGUCAUUGGCUUCAAGGUACUGUGUCAAUCACUUCUCUUUUGCAACAGAGCUGGGAAUUGGAGGCUUUAUUCAGGCCGAAGUGGGAGAAAGGGAAUUUUUACUAGAGGGCAUGGCCUUCUGAGGCAAGGGAAGAAAGGAUCUUCUGCCAGCUGGGGCAGGGACGAGAGGUGAGUCAGAACAGCCUGUGGAGAAUGGUAUUCCCCUCUGGGGGGUCACGGGACUACUUGUAAAAUGACGUCUCGACGUUGGGCCGCAUCCAAGGUUCCCAGCCUUGGCUGUACAUCAGAAUCACCUGGGAGCCUUUUACAAUCCCAGUGUCCAGGUCCCACCUCACAGCAAUUACCUCAGAAUCUCGGGGGCAGGGACCCAAGCUGAGGUAGUUGUUACGGUGCCCCAGAUGACUCCAAGGUACAUCCAGGCUUGAAGAUCAUCGAUCUAGGGCUUUGCUGAUCAAAGUCUGGCCUGGGGACCAGCAGCGUUGGUGUCACCUGGGACUUGUUAGACAUGCAGAAAUCUCAGGUCACACCCUAGACCUACUGAGUCAGCAUCUGCAUUUUAGCAAGGUCCCUGGGAGAUCUGAAGUCUAUUAAAGUAUGUGGAGCUGUGGUUCUCAAACUUUGCUGCAUAUUAAAAUCACCUAGGGAGCUUUUAAAAAUCCCAGUGCCCAGGCCGCCCCUUAUACCAAUUAAGUCAGAAUUUCUGAGGGUGGGAUGCAAGCAUCAGUAGUUUUUUUUAUUGGUUCUCAGGUGGUUCUGAUGUUCAUGGGUCCUCAACCCUGGCUACAUAUUAGAAUCACCUGGGGAGCUUUUAAAUAUCCAGAUACUUGAGCCCUAUUUUAAGAAAUUCUGAUUUAAUUGGUCUGGGAGAGGCUGCAAAAAGCUUCCUAGGUGAUUCUAAUAUGCAGCCAACAAGAGCCUCUGUUCCAGAAUGUUCUGCUGGCUUCACUGAAGGGCCAGCCAGGUUGAAAAUCAUACCACAAGUCAAUGGAUCCAAGAACUGUUGAAGGAAAAGAACGACCAGACCAUGUCUAGACUUAUCUGAUCUCAGGACUUUGAUAUUUGAUCUUAUGUGUGACAACUACUAUACUUUUCUUUUUUUUAUGAAUUCAAAUAUUUGUAUGCUCCUUUACUUUUCUAAGAAAACUUGUUUUGAAAAAUUCAACUUCAAUUCAGCCAAAUUAAGGGGCAAAAGCAUUGGUCUACAUCUGGGCCACAGGAACUAGGAGCAGCUGAGGAAUCAGGUGGGAUGGUUGUAAGAGAGGUCAAGAUGGAGAAUUUGGGACAGGUGGGGCCCAGCUGAAGUGUGAAGAAAUACCCUUGGGGACAAGAAAGAGGAGAGCCGAUUGUAAUUUCUUGUCCCUUUUGCCCUAUGGCACCCCCUCUCCGUUUCCAACAUGACUGUGGAGUCAGGUAGCUCUAGAUUAGGGUUGCCAGAUUUAGCAAAUAAAAACAGGGCACCCAGCAAAACUUGAAUUUCAGAUAAACAAUAAAUUAUUUUUGAAUAUGUCUCAUGCAAAAUUUGAAAUAUUAUACUAGAAAUAUUUCAAAAUUUGAAAUAUACGACUAUACUAUAUAUAGUUGGACUGGAGAUGACAGGUAGGUCUGCAUGUGUGUACAUGUGUGUAUGUGCAACAAAUGCUUUGUUGUUUACUGAAAUUCAGUUUUGAUUGGGUAUUGUGUAUUUUAUCUGACAAUCCUACUUGAUUGAUAACCCUGAAUUCUUGAUGUUAGAGAAUCUGCCCUUGGCAAUGGCAGAUUUUCCCUCUACGCCUGAAGGGGUUCUUGCCACCUGAGGUGAGGUCCAUGUGUGUUUGUCUGAACCCUGUCCCCAGGAGGUCCACCCUCCUGGGUUCUGCAGGGCUUGCUCAACACCCCAAGGCUAGCACUGGCAAGAAUGUAUGGGGAUGACCCGGUUCUUGGACUUCACUUUUCUAGGCUGCUUCCCUGCAGUUUUUGGUGUUGAGAUGGUUCCUAGGAGAUCAGGUCCUCACUUGCCCAAGUCAGUCUACAUAUGGCUGAAGAGAAAGGUUGUUGAAAGGCAUUUUGGACUGGAGAUGACAGUGUCGAGCGAAGGUGGACAAAUGCAGGGCAAAGGCAGCAUGUUUCACAAUCCGGCUACAGCUUGUCCUGGAGCUGCCUGCCCACAUCUGAGCCCAGUGUGACUGGCUUUCAGCAGAGGCUGCUCCACGGAAACAUAUUCAGAGUCAAGAGUCCAGUUUUCUGUUCCAUUCAGCUCUGAAACAGCUCAUUCCCUUGUCUUCGGAGCAUGUGGG